AUUGAACGCUGGCGGCAGGCCUAACACAUGCAAGUUGAGCGAUCGGCUGAAGGGUGAGUAAUGUAUGAGGCCUGCGCGAUAGAGGGGGAUAACGAUUGGAAACGGUAGCUAAUACCGCAUACUAUCGGAUAACCCAUAUGGGAUUAGCUAGUAGGUGAGGGAAUGUCUCACCUAGGCGACGACCCCUAGCUGGUCUGAGAGGAUGAUCCGCGACACUGGGAAUGAGAGACGGACCAUACUCGUACGGAGGCAGUAGGUGGGAAUAUUGCACAAUGGGCGAAAUCCUGAUGCAGCCAUGCCGCGUGUAUGAAGAAGGCCAUAGGGUUGUAAAGUACUUUCAGUGUGGAGGCGUUACCGUCAGAAGCAGCACCGGCUACCUCCGUGCCAGCAGCCGCGGUAAUUC
rnacentral:rRNA from 1 species